rnacentral:rRNA from 1 species
ACCCGCACAAGCGGUGGAUGAUGUGGUUUAAUUCGAUGCAACGCGAAAACCUUACCCACCUUUGACAUGUACGGAACCCUUUAGAGAUAGAGGGGUGCUCGAAAGAGAGCCGUAACACAGGUGCUGCAUGGCUGUCGUCAGCUCGCGUCGUGAGAUGUUGGGUUAAGUCCCGCAACGAGCGCAACCCUUGUCAUUAGUUGCUACAUUCAGUUGGGCACUCUAAUGAGACUGCCGGUGACAAGCCGGAGGAAGGUGGGGAUGACGUCAAGUCCUCAUGGCCCUUAUAGGUGGGGCUACACACGUCAUACAAUGGCUGGUACAAAGGGUUGCCAACCCGCGAGGGGGAGCCAAUCCCAUAAAGCCAGUCGUAGUCCGGAUCGUAGUCUGCAACUCGACUACGUGAAGUCGGAAUCGCUAGUAAUCGUGGAUCAGAAUGUCACGGUGAAUACGUUCCCGGGUCUU